rnacentral:rRNA from 1 species
AGGACGAACGCUGGCGGCGUGCCUAAUACAUGCAAGUCGAACGGUCUUUCUAUGGAAGCUUGCUUCCACUGAGAAGAUAGUGGCGAACGGGUGAGUAACACGUGGGUAACCUGCCCAUAAGAGGGGGAUAACAUCCGGAAACGGGUGCUAAUACCGCAUAGUUUUCUUGAUUGCAUGAUUGAGAAAGGAAAGACGGCCUUUGUGCUGUCGCUUAUGGAUGGACCCGCGGCGUAUUAGUUAGUUGGUGAGGUAACGGCUCACCAAGACGAUGAUACGUAGCCGACCUGAGAGGGUGAUCGGCCACAUUGGGACUGAGACACGGCCCAAACUCCUACGGGAGGCAGCAGUAGGGAAUCUUCCGCAAUGGACGAAAGUCUGACGGAGCAACGCCGCGUGAGUGAAGAAAGGUUUUCGGAUCGUAAAACUCUGUUGUCAGAGAAGAACAAGUUGGAGAGUAACUGCUCCAGCCUUGACGGUAUCUGACCAGAAAGCCACGGCUAACUACGUGCCAGCCGCAGC